rnacentral:rRNA from 1 species
GCUGUUUCGUAAGUCGUGUGUGAAAGGCGCGGGCUCAACCCGCGGACGGCACAUGAUACUGCGAGACUAGAGUAAUGGAGGGGGAACCGGAAUUCUCGGUGUAGCAGUGAAAUGCGUAGAUAUCGAGAGGAACACUCGUGGCGAAGGCGGGUUCCUGGACAUUAACUGACGCUGAGGCACGAAGGCCAGGGGAGCGAAAGGGAUUAGAUACCCCUGUAGUCCUGGCAGUAAACGGUGCACGCUUGGUGUGCGGGGAAUCGACCCCCUGCGUGCCGGAGCUAACGCGUUAAGCGUGCCGCCUGGGGAGUACGGUCGCAAGAUUAAAACUCAAAGAAAUUGACGGGGACCCGCACAAGCGGUGGAGUAUGUGGCUUAAUUCGAUGCAACGCGAAGAACCUUACCUGGGCUUGACAUGUAAUGAACAACAUGUGAAAGCAUGCGACUCUUCGGAGGCGUUACACAGGUGCUGCAUGGCCGUCGUCAGCUCGUGUCGUGAGAUGUUUGGUUAAGUCCAGCAACGAGCGCAACCCCUGUUGCCAGUUACCAGCACGUGAAGGUGGGGACUCUGGCGAGACUGCCCAGAUCAACUGGGAGGAAGGUGGGGACGACGUCAGGUCAGUAUGGCCCUUAUGCCCAGGGCUGCACACGUACUACAAUGCCCAGUACAGAGGGGGCCGAAGCCGCGAGGCGGAGGAAAUCCUGAAAACUGGGCCCAGUUCGGACUGUAGGCUGCAACCCGCCUACACGAAGCCGGAAUCGCUAGUAAUGGCGCAUCAGCUACGGCGCCGUGAAUACGUUCCCGGGUCUUGUACACACCGCCCGUCACAUCAUGGAAGCCGGUCGCACCCGAAGUAUCUGAAGCCAACCGCAAGGAGGCAGGGUCCUAAGGUGAGACUGGUAACUGGGAUGAAGUCGUAACAAGGUAGCCGUAGGGGAACCUGCGGCUG